GUUGUGUUUCCGCCAUCUUUGAGAUGUCAGCCGCUGAAGAUAACGACAAAACAGGUCCUACCGGCCUCUUCACGAGGUCUUUGAGGUCCGACCUUAUGAACACCGCAGCGAGUGGCGUUUGUUUAAGUACACGGUGCCUGUACUAAGGGAAGGGUUGCUUUUGAAAUACCCUGAGGUUAUUGACAACGCCAAUUCUAAGUAUGCAGAACAGAUAUAGAGAUGUCUAGUAUGGGGGAAUCCGCUCUGUAAAGCCACCAGAAGAGUGAACAUUUAGAAUACAUAUUCAAUACAAAUAACGUGUUUUGUUUUGAUAUGUGUAAUGCCUUUGG